GCUCUACUCCUUACUCAUAACAGGUGCCUUGAAGAAAACUACAACUGUAAUGUUAUUGUUGGAAAAGAUGUUGUAGGUGUGUAAGUAAAUUGCCUAUAACAAGACUAUGAUUAUAAUAGUGGUUUUGAAGAAUAAAGACAAGUUACUAGACCAUGUACAAAAACUAGAAUGUCAUUUACAAAAUAUGAGAUCUGCAAAAAUUAGCAAAAAUGCUAAGAAAGUAUUGUCUGAUAUGCCAAAAUUGAAGAAUCUUAAUUAGCCUAUCUAAAAUUACUGGUAGAGGUAAUUCCUCUCCUCCAAAAGUCAUUUUAGUACGGUUUCAU
rnacentral:misc_RNA from 1 species